GUGAUCCUACGGGGGGCAGCAGUAGGGAAUAUUGGACAAUGGGGGGAACCCUGAUCCAGCGACGCCACGUGAGUGAAGAAGUAUUUCGGUAUGUAAAGCUCUAUCAGCAGGGAAGAAAGAAAUGACGGUACCUGACUAAGAAGCCCCGGCUAACUACGUGCCAGCAGCCGCGGUAAUACGUAGGGGGCAAGCGUUAUCCGGAUUUACUGGGUGUAAAGGGAGCGUAGACGGCGAUGCAAGUCUGAAGUGAAAGCCCGGGGCUCAACCCCGGGACUGCUUUGGAAACUGUAUGGUUGGAGUGCUGG
rnacentral:rRNA from 1 species